GGGGCCGUGGUCUAGCGGUUAUGACGCCGCCCUGACGCGGCGGAGGUCGCCGGUUCGAAUCCGGCCGGCCCCA
rnacentral:tRNA from 2 species